rnacentral:snoRNA from 1 species
CAUGAAGACCAUUAUCCAUAUUGCAGCAGCAGAACAAUUUUUUCUCAAAACUGAUCAUGUCUCAUUGUUGGAAACGCCUCAUAGAAUAAAUAUGUUGUUUCCUUUAUUCACAGAACUGUGUGUUAGAUCUGUGGGAAGGAAUUACAAGACAGCU